AUUGAACGCUGGCGGCGUGCCUAACACAUGCAAGUCGAGCGGUAACAGGUGUAGCAAUACAUGCUGACGAGCGGCGGACGGGUGAGUAACGCUUGGGAAUCUGCCUAUUAGUGGGGGACAACCCGGGGAAACUCGGGCUAAUACCGCAUACGCUCUACGGAGGAAAGCCGGGGACCGCAAGGCCUGGCGCUAAUAGAUGAGCCCAAGUCGGAUUAGCUAGUUGGUAGGGUAANGGCCUACCAAGGCGACGAUCCGUAACUGGUCUGAGAGGACGACCAGUCACACCGGAACUGAGACACGGUCCGGACUCCUACGGGAGGCAGCAGUGGGGAAUAUUGGACAAUGGGCGAAAGCCUGAUCCAGCGACGCCGCGUGGGUGAAGAAGGCCUGCGGGUUGUAAAGCCCUUUCAGUGGGGAAGAAAAGCCUCGACCUAACACGUCGGGGUCUUGACGUAACCCAUAGAAGAAGCACCGGCUAACUCUGUGCCAGCAGCCGCGGUAAC
rnacentral:rRNA from 1 species